UGGGGAAUAUUGCGCAAUGGGGGGAACCCUGACGCAGCCAUGCCGCGUGAAUGAAGAAGGCCUUCGGGUUGUAAAGUUCUUUCGGUAUUGAGGAAGGUUGAUGUGUUAAUAGCACAUCAAAUUGACGUUAAAUACAGAAGAAGCACCGGCUAACUCCGUGCCAGCAGCCGCGGUAAUACGGAGGGUGCGAGCGUUAAUCGGAAUAACUGGGCGUAAAGGGCACGCAGGCGGUUAUUUAAGUGAGGUGUGAAAGCCCUGGGCUUAACCUAGGAAUUGCAUUUCAGACUGGGUAACUAGAGUACUUUAGGGAGGGGUAGAAUUCCACGUGUAGCGGUGAAAUGCGUAGAGAUGUGGAGGAAUACCGAAGGCGAAGGCAGCCCCUUGGGAAUGUACUGACGCUCAUGUGCGAAAGCGUGGGGAGCAAACAGGAUUAGAUACCCUGGUAGUCCACGCUGUAAACGCUGUCGAUUUGGGGAUUGGGCUUAGAGCUUGGUGCCCGUAGCUAACGUGAUAGAUCGACCGCCUGGGGAGUACGGCCGCAAGGUUA
rnacentral:rRNA from 1 species